CAGGUGCGAAAUUAAAACCGCUUAUGGGAGUCUCCAUCGACAGCAAGCUUGCUUCGACACAACUCAAGGCUAACAAAAUCGCAUUCCUCCAAGCGGGUUCCCGGAUGUCUGAGAAUUCGACUCCGCCUUCAUUAGAUUUCCACCAAGAAUGAGCAGUCCCUUGCAUUGCGGUUCGAAUUCAAUCCGAUAAUUGGCGUCGAGGACGAUGGCCGAACUUGCAUUGCCGGCGUGUACGUCGCCUUUUUUUGUUUCCGAUCGAGGAAAUGUCGAGUUGGGGCAGAAUGGAGGUUGUCUUCGUGCAAGAAUCGUCCGUAGUGGUGCUCUCAGGAAGGAGAAUCCCCGGAAUUUAGGGUUCUUAGGGAAUUGUCGUGAGUCCAGGAAGACUGGUUCUGGGCAUGGCGGAAUUAGGGUUUGUAAGGGCAUGUUCAGGCCGAACGAGCAUCUUCGUUUCUUAGAUUGGGGCCAAACUGCUGAAAUUUCGGCUCGGCAACAUGGGCAUGGAAGGUCUGCACCACGCAACAGGCGUUUCUGUAGCGGAGAUGGAAUUUGUUACAUGGAAUUGGAGAAAUUUGGGCGCUUGAAUGCACUCGAGAAUCCAAAUUCUGGAACUAAUGUUCGUAAAAUUGCAGAACGAAAUCAUGGUUUGUGGUGUCUAGGGUCAAAGAACAUGCACUGUGCAUAUAUCAGAGUACCGGCUUUUGGCAGAUUCGGACGAUUCGGCCGUGCGGACAACGAAAUGGGGUUCAAUUUUGAACCGGAAGCAGGAAAUACGCUAGAUAAUUCAAGUGCCCGUUCCAGUUUAAAUCGCCGGAAUGACGAUGGCAUUAUGGAAGGCGAGCAGUACGAUUUCCUAGAUCAUGCUUUCGAUCAGAAAUUCAAGAGAGGUAGCAAAAAUAACGAAAACUUUAAUUCGCUAUUCGUAAAUGAAGAGUCCCUAAGUUGUUCUGGUACGAACACCUCCAUGAAUUAUAGGACGGCAAUGUCCUCAAUGGCGCCUCAGGGAAACGACGGGACUUUAGAUUCUGACAAAAUUUCUGACGGUGGUUCAGUCGAUCAACUGAAAAAGAGGAAAAGUGGCAUAAGCAAGAAUACGUUAAUAGACGAAGAUGAUUUACUGCCAGUGGAUCGAGAUUUACUACAGCUGAGAAGAGAAAUGCAGCAGGAUGAGAACUUGGUUAAAAAGUCAGAAUCUAAUGACCUUGUUGGAGGAGAGAGUACGACCGAACCACUGUUCGAAGAUGAGGAAAUGGGGAGCUUGGUAAAUCGUGGUCUGCAUGGUGGUAAACAAGUACUUAGGAGAUCAAACGUCCUUGCAAAGCAAGUCAUCAGCAUUCAGUCUGCCUUAAGCUUGGGUUUCGUAUCCCAACUUUGGGUCGACGUUAAAUCGUGGAUGGUGCUUGUGGUAGAGGUGAGACCAAGUUUAUUAUCGGGUGAAAUGGAGAGGUUUUUGUUGAAGGACAUAUUUCAGGUUGGCGAUGUUGUGCUUGUCCAGGAUGAGAGUGUAAUCGAAAAAGAUCUCCGAUUAAUUGGUUUGGAGACAUUGGUUGGAUACAAUGUUAUAACUGAAAGCCGCCGCACUGUUGGGAAGGUGCGAGGCUACUCUUUCAACAUCAACUCAGGGUCCAUUGAGUCCCUUGAGCUUGAUUCCUUUGGUGUUUCCAUCAUUCCUGCCAGUUUGGUAAGCACAUAUUGUUUGUUUGUGGAGGAUGUGCUUGAAGUUUUGUCUGAUACCAUUGUAGUACAAGAAGGUGCUGCUUCACGAAUACAGAGACUAACAAAGGGGUUCUGGGGUAACCAAAAGAUGAAGGCUGGUGAUCAUGAUGAUGAAAAUGAAUUGGAUAUCAGGUUGGCGCAAAGGCAAAGGCGCUCUUUGAGCCGAUCUAGAGCUCGAAGGUUUCCAUCAAGGAAAGAGGGAAGAGAAGAUUGGGAUUUUCCGUUGGAUUAUUGAUGGUCCUAAGAACAAAUCAGCAAAACACAAAUUUGAAGUGCCAUGCUUGUCGUACGGACAUUGCUCAACCAGGUGACGAUGUUUUGGGGGCAUCCUCCAAUAAAAUAACAAAAUGCUGUAUAUAGAGCUUUGUCUAAUAGAUUUCUUGCUGGAUCUGGGUUUUAAGUUCAUCAUCGAAGGGAUGCCGUUUGCAACUACGGUAGCUGCCUCUGCUGCGCCCAGCUCCUCCUUGAGGUUGUCCAUUGUGAUUUGUAAGUUCUUGGUGCCUCCUCCAGUUUAAAAGGUUGACAAGGAACCUAGAUAAAAGCUGUAUUAGGCAUCACAAUACAAAACAUGUCGCACCUCGGCUCGGAGAGCAGAAAGGCUUUCACUAACGCACGUUCGUAGUGAUCGAAAUUUAAGAGCAGGAAUUUUUGUUUGAUGUUCAACGACUGCAGUUCUUGCUUGUUUCUUCUUGUGUGGGCUUCAUGUGUA